rnacentral:rRNA from 1 species
UACAGAGGUCCCAAGCGUUGUUCGGAUUCACUGGGCGUAAAGGGUGCGUAGGUGGUGAGGUAAGUCGGAUGUGAAAGCUCGGAGCUCAACUCCGAAAUGGCAUUGGAAACUACCUUGCUCGAGGGUUGGAGGGGGGACUGGAAUACUUGGUGUAGCAGUGAAAUGCGUAGAUAUCAAGUGGAACACCAGUGGCGAAAGCGGCUUCCUGGUCCAGCACCGACGUCAGGCACGAAAGCGUGGGGAGCAAACAGG